GAUGAACGCUGGCGGCGUGCCUAAUACAUGCAAGUCGAGCGAACAGACGAGGAGCUUGCUCCUCUGACGUUAGCGGCGGACGGGUGAGUAACACGUGGAUAACCUACCUAUAAGACUGGGAUAACUUCGGGAAACCGGAGCUAAUACCGGAUAAUAUAUUGAACCGCAUGGUUCAAUAGUGAAAGACGGUUUUGCUGUCACUUAUAGAUGGAUCCGCGCCGCAUUAGCUAGUUGGUAAGGUAACGGCUUACCAAGGCAACGAUGCGUAGCCGACCUGAGAGGGUAACCGGCCACCCUGGACCUGAGACACGGUCCAGACUCCUACGGGAGGCAGCAGUGGGAAAUCUUCCGCAAUGGGCGAAGGCCUGACGGAGCAACGCCGCGUGAGUGAUGAAGGUCUUCGAUCGUAAAACUCUGUUAUUAGGGAAGAACAAAUGUGUAAGUAACUAUGCACGUCUUGACGGUACCUAAUCAGAAAGCCACGGCUAACUACGUG
rnacentral:rRNA from 1 species